GCACUGCGAACGCCGGCUGAGCUGAGUCUCGCUGCUCGGUGCGAGGCGGCGGAGAGCGAGGCCUGGUGAGCACCGCCGAGGCGCGGGCCAGCUCUUCGAGGUUGUGCGCGGGAGUGGCACGGCGGGCGGGCGAGCGAGGGGCUAACUUCAGCGGUGGCACCGGGAUCGGUUGCCUUGAGCCUGAAAUCAUGACCACCCCAGGAAAAGAGAACUUUCGCCUGAAAAGUUACAAGAACAAAUCUCUGAAUCCCGAUGAGAUGCGCAGGAGGAGGGAGGAAGAAGGACUGCAGUUACGAAAGCAGAAAAGAGAAGAGCAGUUAUUCAAGCGGAGAAAUGUUGCUACAGCAGAAGAAGAAACAGAAGAAGAAGUUAUGUCAGAUGGAGGCUUUCAUGAGGCUCAGAUUAGUAACAUGGAGAUGGCACCAGGUGGUGUCAUCACUUCUGACAUGAUUGAAAUGAUAUUUUCCAAAAGCCCAGAGCAACAGCUUUCAGCAACACAGAAAUUCAGGAAGCUGCUUUCAAAAGAACCUAACCCUCCUAUUGAUGAAGUUAUCAGCACACCAGGAGUAGUGGCCAGGUUUGUGGAGUUCCUCAAACGAAAAGAGAAUUGUACACUGCAGGUGAGCCUGGCAUUUGCUAGGAACCAGAGUGGAACCGGCAAAGUGGCCAGCAACAGAGUCCUGAUCCAAAUGGAGAAAGGGAACCAGGCGUACCUCAACCUGGAGUGGGAAACUUGAUAGGAGUUUGAAUCAGCUUGGGUACUGACAAAUAUUGCUUCAGGAAAUUCUCUUCAGACCCGAAUUGUGAUUCAGGCAGGAGCUGUGCCCAUCUUCAUAGAGUUGCUCAGCUCAGAGUUUGAAGAUGUCCAGGAACAGGCAGUCUGGGCUCUUGGCAACAUUGCUGGAGAUAGUACCAUGUGCAGGGACUAUGUCUUAGACUGCAAUAUCCUUCCCCCUCUUUUGCAGUUAUUUUCAAAGCAAAACCGCCUGACCAUGACCCGGAAUGCAGUAUGGGCUUUGUCUAAUCUCUGUAGAGGGAAAAGUCCACCUCCAGAAUUUGCAAAGGUUUCUCCAUGUCUGAAUGUGCUUUCCUGGUUGCUGUUUGUCAGUGACACUGAUGUACUGGCUGAUGCCUGCUGGGCCCUCUCAUAUCUAUCAGAUGGACCCAAUGAUAAAAUUCAAGCGGUCAUCGAUGCGGGAGUAUGUAGGAGACUUGUGGAACUGCUGAUGCAUAAUGAUUAUAAAGUGGUUUCUCCUGCUUUGCGAGCUGUGGGAAACAUUGUCACAGGGGAUGAUAUUCAGACACAGGUAAUUCUGAAUUGCUCAGCUCUGCAGAGUUUAUUGCAUUUGCUGAGUAGCCCAAAGGAAUCUAUCAAAAAGGAAGCAUGUUGGACGAUAUCUAAUAUUACAGCUGGAAAUAGGGCACAGAUCCAGACUGUGAUAGAUGCCAACAUUUUCCCAGCCCUCAUUAGUAUUUUACAAACUGCUGAAUUUCGGACAAGAAAAGAAGCAGCUUGGGCCAUCACAAAUGCAACUUCUGGAGGAUCAGCUGAACAGAUCAAGUACCUAGUAGAACUGGGUUGUAUCAAGCCGCUCUGUGAUCUCCUCACGGUCAUGGACUCUAAGAUUGUACAGGUUGCCCUAAAUGGCUUGGAAAAUAUCCUGAGGCUUGGAGAACAGGAAGCCAAAAGGAAUGGCACUGGCAUUAACCCUUACUGUGCUUUGAUUGAAGAAGCUUAUGGUCUGGAUAAAAUUGAGUUCUUACAGAGUCAUGAAAACCAGGAGAUCUACCAAAAGGCCUUUGAUCUUAUUGAGCAUUACUUCGGGACCGAAGAUGAAGACAGCAGCAUUGCACCCCAGGUUGACCUUAACCAGCAGCAGUACAUCUUCCAACAGUGUGAGGCUCCUAUGGAAGGUUUCCAGCUUUGAAGCAAUACUCUGCUUUCACGUACCUGUGUCAGACCAGGCUACCCAGUCGAGUCCUCUUGUGGAGCCCACAGUCCUCAUGGAGCUAACUUCUCAAAUGUUUUCCAUAAUACUGUUUGCGCUCAUUUGCUUGCCUUGCGCACCUGCUCUCUUACACACAUCUGGAAAACCUCCGGCUCUCUGUGGUGGAAUACCCUUCUAAUAAAAGGGUAACCAGAACGGCCCACUCUCUUUUACGGAAAAAUCCCUAGGCUUUGGAGAUCCGCACUUACAUUAGAGUUAUGGGAAUAUACACAUAUUAAUGUGGCUCCCUUUUUCUUGUGGGGGAAUAAAAGAGGACUCCUCCUCAUUCCCUUUAACAUGGGGGAAAAAACUGACAUUAAAAGAUGAGACUAAAUCUUUAUCUUGAAUUUUACACAACUACUUACGACAAGGGAGAUGUUUAGACCUGUUGUGUAUACUUCAGAGUACUUUUCAUGAGUUCUUCCACAGUGAACCCUUGGAUUACCUGGUGGCUUUUUCUAGCCAGAUUUGCAUUAAUCCUUACUGAGAUUGGAUGGUUUUCUUUCCUCUAUUGGCGCCAUUCUUCAGAUAUUAAAGUUAAACCAUCCACUCCCUCACCUUCAGCCUUCAGUGAAUGUGCUUUCUAGUUGUCAGGAAUGCUGAAGAAUUAACACUUUGACUCCUAAAUGUGAUACUGGUUUGUAGAUUCCCUUAGAGCAGAAAGGAGAGGGGCACAUAUUAAUUUGUAUCGCUUUUGCUUCUCUUUGGUCUUUUGUGUCUUAGAAUUUGGAAGUGGUUCAUUUCUGUUGCUGGUAUGAGGAUUUCGAAUACUUAGUAAUCGAAAACCAUAUCCUGUAAUUUAAUAAAAAAAACUAAGGACGAAAAAACCCUCCAAUUUUCCCAAAUGCAAUCAGUGUAACUAGGGGCUGUGUUUCUGCAUUAAAAUAAAUGUUUCAGGCUUUGUGGUCCUGAUCAAGGUCCUCAUUAAAAAAUUGGAGUUCACCCUAGGUGCUUUUCCCCUCUGUGACUGGCAGAUAACACAUACUUUUGAAAGUAACUUUGGGAUUUUUUUCUUAGGUGCAGCUCGAUUCUAAUCUUUUCAUGCUGCACACGAUUCCUUUAAUGUAGCAUCCUUAUCUGAAAGAAAUAACCAUCUUCUCAACAUGACCUGCUUAACCCAAAUAAGAACAGUGAUCUUAUAACCUCAUUGUUUCCUAAUCAUUUUAUUUCAUCUCCUGCUAGUACUGUGCCGCUUCCCCCUCCCCCCACACAAAAUAAAAACAGUAUCUGCCUUCUGGCUCAUUUAAUGAUGACUGCAAUCUGUACCUGCAAAUGGCGCUUCCAGUACUGUGUUCAGUGAUCCACAUUUGUGCUUGGACUGGAAUGAAAAAAUACGCUUAAUUGCCAAGACAACUGCAAAUGAGUUCAAUACGACUUCUCGGUGCUAGUUGGCCAUCUUGACUCAAUGUUGGGAUACACUACCAGAGAAGAUUUUUUUGUUGAUGUGCUGUUCAAAGUGAAUUCUGAAGGAAAAGGUUGCUCACCUCUGUUUCAGAGCAUACCCUUUUAAACCUUUUUAGACUUGUCCUCUUCUAGAAUUCAUUAUAACCCCAAAGUGUAAAAACUAUUUGGAAGUUGCCCCUGACAAGCUAUUAUACAUCUCUGGUAAAUCCUGCUGAAUGUAAGGGAUAUUCAGAGCUUUUCAUACCUCAUCAUGAUGUUAUUUAAGCAGCCAACUUAUGUGACCUGAUUUAAACUUUUAAAAAAUCCACUUCAUUCAAACUAGAAAGAGUCAAAGACAAAGGACAUUUAUCAGCCAAGAGUGUGACGCAUUCUUCGCAUCUAGUCUGUAGUAGUGUCUGUGCUCUGGGAUGGAUACCGUCUGAUGUCUGUUUGUUAUUGAUGGCGCAGCCACUGCAAAACUAGUCAACUCCCAUCUAUAACUGUUACUUUUUCUAGUGCUGCUUUGUGCUGAGAGAACAUUUUAGUUUACUGCACUUGACCUGUAAAAGACUGAUUCUUUGUAAUUUUAGGGAUAAAUUAGGUGGUUAAUUUAAAGAAGAAAUUUCAAUGUUGCCUUUACAUCACAUUAAAAUAUAACUUCUUUCAGAAGGAUAAUAGAAGCACUGAUUCAUAGUAAAAAUCUUGUUUUUAGCUUUGACUUUUUUGUGGCUGUUUUUUAAAAUUGUAAAUUACUAGUAACAUGUCAUUUCUAUAGGAUGUUUUAAAUUAUGUACCUUCCAUUGGAUAGUUAAAAUAAUUUCAUUUUAUAAGCCAAUUUGAGUGGGAAAGAUACAAAGCACACAGUUGUCUCCCCACAUUAGGAAGAGUAGUGUGCAUUCAGACAUUCGGAAUUUUUGCUAGUAGUUGGAGAUGUUUCAGUGAGUGAAUUAAAACAAAGUCUAUUUAACUGACGUGAUCUAUUUUGUGUCUAAAACAGAGGAAUUUAUCUUGUCCUAGAAGUUCAUGAACUAUAAGAUCUAAGUUUUUUUUUCUUUUUUAACAAUAAAAUGAUUUUUUCUUAAAGUAUCAAAGUUGGAAUUGGCUAAAAGUGAAGUAGCAUAACUCAGAUAUGUUGGAACUUGGUACUGAAGCAGGCUUUUUGGUAACAGAAAUGACAUUUUAAGGGGUAACUGUAUAUCCUGUUUUUAGUUCUUUGCCUCUCAGAUUCUGUUAACUUAGUUUAAAUUCACUGAAUACCCUACCACUAAGGCGUUGCUCAUUACAAAAGCAUGUUAAUUUCAAUACAGGAAAACUCUUUUGUAGUUUUAUAUAUGGAUUGGGGAAAGUGACUUUGUUUUACUUUUCCUUUUUAUUCCCCUCCAUCCUCCAAACUUCCAAUCUAUAUUAUUUGUAAUGAGAACUUUGGUGGGGGAAAAAAAGCAUUAAGAGAAUUUUGGAUGUAAAGGCAUCUGGUAUCUGAUGGACCAGCAGGUAGAUGUGGUUGGAUUGAGAAAUUUUGGGUAAGGUAGAUGAUAGAAGAAAGAGAUUUUAGGAGACACAGUUCUCUGUGGAACACUUUCUUUCAUGUUCCUGUAACUAAUUGAUCAAGACCCUUUUAAACGCUUAUCUUUGUCAGUUCCGCUUUUGAAAAAACUAUUGCCCUAGGAUUGUUUCUUCCAUAUGACAGAUGAAGGUUAUUGGCUCUGAGUCAUUUUUGGCAUUAUCGUCACAGAUAAAAAGAUUGGCAAUUAAUCUCAUAAAAAAUCUGAAUUAUUCCAGAUUGCUGCCGAUUUUUGCCUAAGAAACAAUAUGUAAGUAUAUUUUAUAAACCAAACUUUGUCAACCAAUUCUAUUGUACGUCUACCCACAGGCAACUUUGAAUUUACUUCUCUAGUGCUAAAUAAACAUUUCAGCGAUUUAAUCCCCCAACUUGGGGGAUGCAUUAUGAAAAGGUUUUCCUGGAGUCAAGGGGUUUUUCUUUCUCGCUAGUUUUGUGAAAAUUUUUAUAUCAAUAGGCAAAUCAUUAUAACUUUUUAGGGGUUGAUGGUUUUUAAGUAUAUUGGAAAUUGUGGUGUCUAAGGAUGAUGUUCAGUGAAGAAAAGGGAUCCACUUUUAGAAACCAGCAUUGUUUGCUUUCAACUUUCAUACUGUAUGCUAACUCCUACGUUCCAAAAUGUGCUCAUUUGCAGACACAGGUAUGCCUAUAUACAUGGAAGUCUCAAAUCUGAAUUUUUAUCCAUCUCAAUAUGACCAUUUCUCUCUGUUGUGAGCUGAACAGAUUAAGUAUAUAUCUGCCAGGUUGGGAAAUAUUUUGGUCUAUCUUUUCCUGUCAUCAGAACUUAAUUUAAAAAAAUUAUCAAAGGUCAGAUGUGACUACUACAGUAAGUUGGCUAUCAUAAAGAAUAUUCCAUAAAAUGUUUUAUCUGCCAUACAAAAUUACUGGGUUUAUGGCCGGAUGUGGUGGCUCAUGCCUGUAAUCCCAGCAGUUCAGGAUUACAGGUUAUAUACAGGUUAUAACAAUGGAUACCAGGACAUCAGAAUAUCUGAUAAAGCAAAUAUUUAUAUGCUAAUUUAAAAUAUCAAAUUGCUACUGGACAUAAAAUACAUCUGGAAGCUUGGGGUAAGAAGAAAGAAAAGAAGUGUUCCGUUCUGUUUUCAACUAAGGGUAAACGAAGUCCCAGAGUGUUUUCCCUGUAGGUCAAAUUAAGGUAACAUGUCUUUAUUUGAUCAUCUAUUGUACACCAGAUACCUGGCUAAGGGCUUUCCUUUUUUCUCAUGUAGUCUUCCAAAUGUUCUUUGAUAAUUGUCACUAUAUUAUAGAUGACAAAGUGAAGACUUACGAGAAAUUACUUUGCCCCAAGGUUACAACACUUAGAUGGCUGUCCAAGGGCGGGGAAGAGCCCUGCAAAUUCUGUGUCUUGAAGAAAGCAGUGGCCACGCAGUAGUUCCGUGCCCAGGAUCUCCCAGAACUAGACUUGGCAACCACAGCUGGGCCAGCCUUUUUUGUUAGACCAUUCUUCCUGACUCCUGCUUACCAUCAGCACCCUUAAAAUGACGAAAUCAGGCUUAAGUUGCUUUUAGGUUACACAGACUGGAGUGUAGGCCCUCUCAGGCCAAACAUCUUUCCUCUUCUGUGGUGCUAAAAUUCUGUAUGACCAGACAAGUAUGGUAAUAGGUUUUUUUUUUUUUUUUUUUUGUGCAAAUGAUUUUGUGUUUAGUAAAAUAAUGGCUAAACACAUGGAUCCAUUCAAACGCACAAAUGUGGAAAGUAUUGACACGGAAGGAAAGGCUUUGAAGAAUUACUGCCUCAGGAAGCAGUGCCAUGGAUGCGAAUUUAACACAGUCUACUUCUUCCUAAAGGAAUAUCAUCCCAAGGAAUGUCAAAAAUUAAAAUCACCUUUUAAUGUACUGGUUGUUGAGUGUUUCUGCUUUACCUCAAGUCAUUCUGACCACUCUACAUCCUGCUUCAAAGUGUUCUGACACUUAGAUUUGGAAUGGCUCUAAUGAUUCUUUGUACUUGAAUGUGGUCUGUCAGGCCAUGGGUGAGUGCCUUGCACAUAGUAGACAUUCAAUAAAUACUAAAUGAAGGAAUAUGCAUGCAUCUUUGUGAUGUUAGUAAAGGGUGCUUGAUAAAAGAAAA